rnacentral:lncRNA from 1 species
UUCCCACCCCCUAAGUUAGGGGCAUUCACCAAUCAUCCUUUCGAGCUGAACAGGUCAGCUUGGCUCCUGCUACUACCCCGAUCGAUCAACAAUCGGGCACAUCUUCGAUACCACAGUUCGAUUCCACCCUAGAUAAUUGGAGGAUUGCUCGAGACCUACUCCAGGAGAUGCUUCUUUCUAAUGAUCUUGAAAAGAUGGAG